rnacentral:rRNA from 1 species
GUGCCAGCAGCUGCGGUUAUACAAAAAAUACAAGUUAAUUUUAUUAAAUUAAGUUAAAUUGAUGAAUAUUUAAUAAUAAAAAAAUUUUUAGGUGAAAUUUUAAUUUUUUUAUUUUUAAAAUUAAAAAAAAUGUUGAAACUAAAAAAUUUUGUUAAUAAACUAGGAUUAGAUACCCUAUUAUAAAAAAAUGUAUUUUAUAAAAAUUAGAGUAGUAAUAGUUAUGGUCUUGAAACUCAAAAAAUUUGGCGGUAUUUUAGUCUAUUCAGAGGAACCUGUGGUGUAAUCGAUAAUCCACGAUGAAUCUUACUUAUUUUUGUUUUUCAAUUUGUAUAUCGCCGUUAUUUAAAAAUUUUUUGAAAAUAAUAAUUUUUAUAAUUUUUUAUUAAAUAGAAAGUCAGGUCAAGGUGCAGUUUAUAUUUAAGUAUUUCAUGGGUUACAAUAAAUUUAUUUAUAUGGAUUAAAUUAUGAAAUUAAUUUAUGAAGGUGGAUUUGGUAGUAAAUUUUUAGAGAUAAAAAAAUUGAUUUUAGCUCUAAAAUAUG